GGUCCUCUGCCCGCCGCCGCUCGGUGAGGGCGGUUGGCGUCGCGGAGCCCUCGGCGCCGCUUUUCAGGACAGAAGAUUGCUGUCGAAACCACGUCAGCUAUUUUUGCUAUGUCUUACGUGUGGUUUCACAGCAGGGUGCGAACUCCGCAGCCCCCAGAGGACAGCGUGCUUGGGGCGCGUGAGGGCAGCGGGCGUCGGCGCAGGCAGUGGGAGUCACGAGUCGCACAUCUUUCUAUUGGUGCAUUUAGAACAUCUGUUGCUUUGUAUGGCUGCUUGGAUGUUUUUGCUAAUGGCAUUAUUCUGAGGUGCUUUAAAGAAAGGACGUGGCUCAAGAUUCAAGAAGCACUGAAGUCAAACAAGUCGGCUCAGAAUAACUAGAGAGGAAACAAGUUACAACCCAAUGUUUCCUCCAUUUUCUCAAAAUUCUCCUGCAAGAAAAGUUCACUGUUCCCCAGCUGUCUGCAAAUAAUUGGUUUGAGCAGUUUCCAAGAGCAAGGCUGGUGGAGAAGGUUGAUGAGAACCAACAAUAGGAGCUGCUGAAGUCUCGGUUGCUUCCACUUGCUUUCAUCCCCAGUUUGCAGGAGUCCACAGCCCUCUGAGGUGCUGCACGGUCACCCCUUCGUGCCCCUGCAAGAGUGCGAUGGCCGCAGGUUUAAGUAAUUCAUGUGGAUCUCUUAAACAUUAACUAGUCUAUAAAAAUAUUUAGCUACUAAAAGUCAGAAUGAUAUGAUGGGCCUUCUCCUUUGCCAGAAGUAAUGCUGAGCGUCAGCAGCUUAACUCCUGAAGAGGAAAUAAGGAGAGUAAAGCAGCACUUAAGGUAAAAGCCUUUUCCUGGAGUUGUGUAACAUUUUCCAUGGAUUUUAUUUUUGAGAUGUUUUGCAAGCUACAAAUUGCAAGAGAUCCAAGAACUAAUAUGUACAUCCACUUACAAAAAGGUCUGAGUGUUCUCAGAACAAUCUUCGAUUUUCAAGCAAUUAAGCUUUCAGAUGAGACAGUAAAAAAAAAAAAAAAACUUAAAUCCUAUACUCAGCUGCAGCUGCUAUCCAAUAACUAUCAAUUUAUAACACUUUCAGAUGCCAUUACAGGAGGAGUGGGGCUGUGCCUGUACCCAAAAUAGCACGCUGGUUUUUACACCGAUUACCUUAGAUUCUUAAGAAGCCUACAGGCAUUCAACUGACAGCAGAAAGAAUAAAUGAUUUGCUGAUAUCAAAGAGGAUUUGAUUGUUGAAGCAGUAACUAACUGAUGUCUAUUUUUUCACUUUGCUUUACUGCUUUCUAUCUUCACUGUACAAUCCAGCCCAUGUCACUUCAUGUUUUGUUCAUUUUCACUCAUUUAGGAAGGAUGGAUUUGUUUUUUGUUUUUUUUUUCCCCCAGAAAAAGGCAUCAGGGGACCUAGUUUUUGAUCUAUGGAGACAUGUAAACCAAAUCUGUUGAAAAGAGGUACUAUGUACUGUGGCCAUUCUUCCAUGAAAAAGCUUAGGAAUGCUGUUAUCAUGCCAGGAAAAUUAGAAGAGCUUUUGAGUGCAGUUGGUGUAAAGAUGUCAAGACAUCAAGACCGAACUGUGUUUAACAACUGAGUUUGCUUUUGCUGUCGUGAGACAGUUUCAUUUCCACGGCUUUGUUAGCAAAGCUAAAACAGAACAUGAAGUUGAGCAAUUCAAAAGCAACAGGUAGAAUGGAGACUAUUUACACUGCAGCAAAGAGAACAUGAGAUUAGAAAUAGUCCAACUGAGACAUCCACUCCUUUGCUAAUCUGGUAGACUUUAGCCACCCGGAAGUCUCACCUUCUGAAAUGAAAGGCUUGUGGAACAACAGUAAGGCUCCUACAGCAUAGGUCAACUCAAUCUAAACUGCAGUGAGGACUCAGAGAUUAAAGGCAGAAAUUGAAAGCAGAAACAUUCUUUUGAUUCUGUAACAUGCAGAGGAAAGAAUCUUGUAGGCGUCAAGGCAUAGCCUGCUUUCAACAAAACAGUUUUUAGAGAAGUAUUCUCUGGAUUUGUAAAAAAGAGGGAGAAGAGCAUAUUUUAUGCCUGCAACUGGGAGAUCUGCCUCUAGUUUUACAUCUGUCAUGUCCUAAGAUGAAAGAGGUAUGCAGGCAGCAUCUUCACAGUUGGAGACAAAGUGUGGCUCAGCACAGCCAGAGCAUGCCUCAGCACCAGAGCAAUGCUAGUACCUGGAAAAGACAGGAUUAUCUUUCUCUUUGGUAGCAGUUAUUGGGCUAUAAAGCUAUAUAAGUCUUCAAAAGCAGUGGUCACGAAAAAGCAAAGUAUGUUGGUACUACUAUUCCUCAAACCAAAAAGGCCAGUACAGUGCAUGAGGUAGGGAUCCAGGUAAGCUAGUUUCAGUCUGGCACAAGUCUUCUGGCAGUUUCCCAUUUUACUUCAUAAGCGAGAGAAAGCAAGCCCAUGACACCUUCUUUGGGAUGUGUGCAGAACAGAUGGUAUUGUCCCAGGGUGCUCAGAACUUUGUCUUCUUCAUGUAGCAGAGAACUGUGAGCCUCACUGCUGGAAAAAGCACUGAGUUGCUCCACAGACACCAGCCACUGCGAGGCUCAUCUCCUCCACUUUGGCAUCAGCAAGGCACCAUUACCAAUUUGGUAGUGCCUCUGUAUAAACCCAUAGCCACAAGUGAGCUCAAAGCUGUACAAUACUGAUCUCUACCUCGCUCGGUGCUGCCUCGCCAUCUGUCCCUUCUCCUGUGCCAACGCUCAGCAAAUAAGGAAUUGAGGGAAAAAAUUCAUAGGUUUAUUUGAUUGCAAAAGAAAGGUUCCUCCCCCUCCCCCCCACCAGUAUUUCAGCCAGUAUUGCUUCCAGCUUUUAAAAUAUGGAAUAUGGAACACUUCUCAUGAAAUGGUGGAUGCGUUGUUGAUUCUUGUGGUUUCUCAGCCUUUGGUUUGUGCUGAUGCAAGACUGAAGGCAUUUACUGAAUGGUGGUUCAAGCUGUCCUCAUUUUCCACUUAGCAGUUCUGCCCAGGUACUUCAGUAAUCGUCCCCUCUUCAGAAAAUUAUUGCAUCCUACAUUUUGUUCCAUUAAACAAUAUCUUUCCAUCUUCCAGAGAAGGAACUUGAACAAAAUCAAUGGAAGAGGUGUCCUUUGACUUCACUGGCAGCAACAGGGCAAAUGCAGUAAGAAAGCUGGAUACAUGGCUCAGAGUUAGAGAAACACCAGGGAUAUUGUGAAGGCCAUGGUACUAACAGCUUCAGCAUCCUGCAUAGAAAGGGUACUCCUUGUGUGUUCCAGCCCUGAAAGAAACAAAAUAAGGUUCUUUUCAUGACUAAAGUAAAUGUUAGAGAGAGAUGUGUUUGAUACAUAAAAGAGCCAUCAUGGGCAACUCUAUGGGGCAUUGGGAAUCUGAUCCACAAGCAGGAAUGUUGGAACUAGAUGAUCUUAAAGGUCCCUUCCAACCCAAGCCUUCAGUGACUCUAUGAAUCUCUUGACCCUAAGAUGUGCCUUCUCAUCCAUGCAAGACAGUAUUCUAUUCAGUUCUGCUUGAAAAGUAGCCUUUCUUUUCCUUCCCUUAAGCACAUAUGCAGCAUCCGAAAGUUGUUUAGAUUACAGAUUGAUCUUAAAUUUCAGGCUUUCUUUUUUGACUCAUAUCCAUUUGUUCUUAGGUUAACUUCUUUUCACACCUUGAUUUUUAUUUAUUUAUACAAAAUAAUAAAAAUUACCAUUUUCAUUUUCCCCUUUUGUCGAUCCAGAAGUAUCCAUCCCUAUUACUGAGUUACAAAGUAAAGACCACGCAGCUACUGUACCAGAUCUUCUCUU